GCUCAAAAUAGACCCUGUUCCUCCCCCGCUCGGAGCCUGCUGUGGCUCCCCAGUGCCCCCGGGAGGAAGCCCAGCUCCUCACGCAGCCACGGACCCUGUGUGGUCUGGUGCGCCGCGGGGCUCCAGCCAGCUGUACUUCUAGUGGGCCGACCGUGCACCCUUCUUCUGACUCCACCUUCUUUGCCCCUGCUUCUCCCCCUGCCGGCCACGCCCAUUCCCCCUUCUCCAGCCUCCUUCGUGUUGCUUCUUCCAAACCCAGUUCGGGGCCGGCCCAUGGGUCAGUACCUAUCACCCCAUGAGCUCAGGGCCAGGCUGAGCCCCUGGUGUAUGUGAGGCCAGACUGGGGGCCUUGGCUAAUGGGGGGACUGUGGGGCUGACUCCCCCCGCUACACUGGACCCUGUGGAGCGGUCAGGGCCCUGGGGUUUCUGCCUGGCACCCGCUGAGGCCGCCCUGUCCGUGUCUCGCAGCCUGAGGGCAACAUCCUCCGUGACCGGUUCAAGAGCUUCCAGAGGAGAAACAUGAUCGAGCCUCGGGAGCGAGCCAAGUUCAAGCGCAAGUACAAAGUGAAGCUGGUGGAGAAGCGGGCGUUCCGCGAGAUCCAGUUGUAGCUGUGGCGAGAUGUUGGAGCCCCCGCCCUUCAAUAAAGCACCUUCUGACCAACACCUCAGGCUUCGCAUGUGACUUGUCUCCCUCCUGGGGGCAGCUCUGCU